rnacentral:lncRNA from 1 species
CCUUCCACACCUUUUUUAGCAGCAGCACAAUUUAUAUGGUUGCUCAAACUAAUUUAUCUUCAGAAUCAUCUUAUCUCCGAUUCUUCAAUUUCCUUCACCCCUCACCAUCUGCUUGGUCCCCGUCAAAUUUCUCUCCUAAGAUGUCUCACACCUAUUUCUUCCUUUAAGCCCACUGCCCCAGUCCCCUUAUCCUGUCUCAUCUAUUCUAUCACGACAGUCUCACUACAGUCUUCCUACCUAUAAGUUCUUCCCCUUCCAGACUACAAUCUUCCAGGCUAGGGUAAUCUUCCUGAAUUAUUAAUCUGAUCAUGGUACAAGCUCAUGUAUAAACCUCUCUUGACUCUCUGCAUCCGACAGGGUGGACGCCAAAUCCUUCACCCGGCCUUCACCGUCCAGCCCGGCUCUGACUGCUUUGCUGGUUUUAUCCCGUGUCAACCUACCUAUGGCUGCACCGAGAGACCUGAUCUUUAUCUUCUGAACUAUUAGGAUGUCCUUCCCGGCUCCUGCCAACUAGCUAAAUCACUUGCGCUGGGGAAGUCAGUGGCCAUGUGGUGCCUUAAGGAGACUCAAGCAGCCCUAUGGAGAUGCCACAUGACGAAGAACUAAGGCCUCCUGCCAAAAGCCAGCAUCCACUUGCCAGUCAUGUGAGUGAGUCAUCUUGGAAACAGCUCCUCCAGCCUCAGUCAAGCUUCAGAGGCAUCCCUGGAUGACACCUUGACUGCAACCUGCAGGACCACCCGGCUGAGCAGCACCCAAAUUCCUGACCCCCAAAAAUUGUGACCACCCCCUCGAAGGUGACGUGCAUCGUUUGUGGAGACCCUUUGUACACCUGAAAACCCCCUCACAGGCACCAAAGGUUUCAAUAUUUUCCUGUGUCUUUUAGAAGAAAAAAAGACAGCAAUAAUGAAUUGUCUGUGGACAGUUGUUCUCAAGUAAGCCUUCCCGGGAUCUGCAAGCAUCUUUCCAAGAGAGACCAGGUUCACAUCGUUGCAACAGUGAGGCUCGCAAAGCUCCCGUGAGAAGCUGUUCACAUGAACUGUGCCACCUUCUGACUGAUGUUGCUAAUAAAGAACAGAGGAGAAUCUGCCUGUCAAACUUGCCUCAAAGGAGGUCAUUGAGUUGUGAUUGGAUAUAUUAUAUAUUAUACAAUAAUUUAUUUUGACCCUAGGAGAGGUUCAUUUGAAAAAG